GACGAACGCUGGCGGCGUGCUUAACACAUGCAAGUCGAACGGAAAGGCCCUGCUUUUGUGGGGUGCUCGAGUGGCGAACGGGUGAGUAACGCGUGAGUAACCUGCCCUUGACUUUGUGAUAACUUCAGGAAACUGGGGCUAAUACCGGAUAGGAGCUCCUGCUGCAUGGUGGGGGUUGGAAAGUUUCGGCGGUUGGGGAUGGACUCGCGGCUUAUCAGCUUGUUGGUGGGGUAGUGGCUUACCAAGGCUUUGACGGGUAGCCGGCCUGAGAGGGUGACCGGCCACAUUGGGACUGAGAUACGGCCCAGAGUCCUCCGGGGGGCAGCAGUGGGGAAUAUUGCACAAUGGGCGGAAGCCUGAUGCAGCAACGCCGCGUGCGGGAUGACGGCCUUCGGGGUGUAAACCGCUUUCGCCUGUGACGAAGCGUGAGUGACGGUAAUGGGUAAAGAAGCACCGGCUAACUACGUG
rnacentral:rRNA from 1 species